GGAUGAACGCUAGCUACAGGCUUAACACAUGCAAGUGAGGGGCAGCGCAGUGUAGCAAUACAGUGGGCGGCGACCGGCGCACGGGUGCGUAACGCGUAUCCAACCUUCCCGUUACUCAGGGAUAGCCUUCCGAAAGGGAGAUUAAUACCUGAUGGUGUUUGAAUUCCGCAUGUUAUUCAAACUAAAGAUUUAUCGGUAACGGAUGGGGAUGCGUGACAUUAGGUAGAUGGCGGGGUAACGGCCCACCAUGCCUACGAUGUCUAGGGGUUCUGAGAGGAAGGUCCCCCACACUGGAACUGAGACACGGUCCAGACUCCUACGGGAGGCAGCAGUGAGGAAUAUUGGUCAAUGGUCGGAAGACUGAACCAGCCAAGUAGCGUGAAGGAUGAAGGUUCUAUGGAUUGUAAACUUCUUUUAUACGGGAAUAAAACCACCUACGUGUAGGUGCUUGUAUGUACCGUAUGAAUAAGCAUCGGCUAACUCCGUG
rnacentral:rRNA from 1 species